rnacentral:rRNA from 1 species
UACAGAGGGGGCAAGCGUUAUUCGGAAUUAUUGGGCGUAAAGGGCGCGUAGGCGGCCAUUCAAGUGACGGGUGAAAGCCCUCGGCUUAACCGAGGAACUGCCUGUCAGACUGGAUGGCUUGAGACCGGGAGAGGUGAGUGGAAUUCCCAGUGUAGCGGUGAAAUUCGUAGAUAUUCGCAAGAACACCAGUGGCGAAGGCGGCUUACUGGUCCGGUUCUGACGCUGAGGCGCGAAAAGCGUGGGGAGCAAACAGG